rnacentral:rRNA from 1 species
CUGAACGCUGGCGGCGUGGCUAAGACAUGCAAGUCGCACGGUGUGUAGCAAUACACAGUGGCGAACGGGUGAGUAAUGAAUCGCUAAUUACCCCGGACUCUGGGAUAGCUACCCGAAAGGGUAGGUAAUACCAGAUGACAUAACCUUGUCGCAUGACAGGGGUUCUCAAAGGUCCGCCGGUCUGGGAGCAGGCGAUUUCGUAUCAGUAGUUGGUGAGGGGUAACGGCUCACCAAGGCGACGACGCGUAGCCGGACUGAGAGGUUGGCCGGCCACAUUGGGACUGAGACACUGCCCAGACUCCUACGGGGGGGCUGCAGUAACGAAUCUUCCGCAAUGCACGAAAGUGUGACGGAGCGACGCCGCGUGUGGGACGAAGUCCUUCGGGAUGUAAACCACUGUCAGGGGUAAGAAGUUCUGAUCUACCCCAGAGGAAGGCACGGCUAACUCUGUGCCAGCAGCCGCUGGUAAGACAGAGGUGCCGAGUGUUAGGCGGAAUCACUGGGCUUAAAGCGUGGUGUAGGCGGACUUCUAAGUACCUUGUGAAAUCCCACGGCUCAACCGUGGAACUGCUUGGUAUACUGGUCGUCUUGAGCCACUUAGGGGCAGUCGGAACAGACGGUGGAGCGGGUGAAAUGCGUAGAUAUCGUCUGGAACGCCAACGGUGUGAAAACAGACUGCUGGGAGUGUGCUGACGCUGAGACACGAAAGCCAGGGGAGCAAACGGGAUUAGAUACCCCGGUAGUCCUGGCUGUAAACGAUGUCGACUAGAUCGUGGUGGCUCUGACGCCUUCACGGUCGAAGCAAAAGUGCUAAGGUCGACCGCCUGGGAAGUACGGUCGCAAGGCUAAAACUCAAAGGAAUUGACGGGGGCUCACACAAGCGGUGGAGCAUGUGGUUUAAUUCGAAGCAACGCGCAGAACCUUACCUGGGCUUGACAUGCUAGGAUUAUCCGAUGAAAGUCGGGUAGGCCCCGCAAGGGGUACAACUAGUACAGGUGCUGCAUGGCUGUCGUCAGCUCGUGUCGUGAGAUGUCGGGUUAAGUCCCUUAACGAGCGAAACCUUUGCCCUUAGUUACCAGCGGGUUAUGCCGGGGACUCUAAGGGGACUGCCGGUGUCAAACCGGAGGAAGUGGAGAUGACGUCAAGUCCUCAUGGCCUUUAUGCCCAGGGCCACACACGUGCUACAAUGCGGCGGAUAAAGCGAACCAAAAGCGCGAGCUGAAGGAAGUCGCACAAAUCGUCGCCCAGUUCAGAUCGGAGGCUGCAACUCGCCUCCGUGAAGUUGGAAUCGCUAGUAAUCGCGGAUCAGCUACGCCGCGGUGAAUGUGUUCCUGAGCCUUGUACACACCGCCCGUCAAGUCAUGGGAGCCGGAAAUAGCCGAAGUGGCCACACCACUGUGGUCCCUACGCUAGGUUCGGUGACUGGGACU